GCUGGGCGCGGUGGCUCACACCUGUAAUCCCAGCACUUUGGGAGGCUGAGGUGGGUGCAUCACCUGAGGUCAGGAGUUUCUGACCAGCCUGACCAACAUGGUGAAACCCCAUCUCUA
rnacentral:SRP_RNA from 1 species